rnacentral:rRNA from 1 species
UCCGUAGGCGGUGCGGCAAGUCGGAAGUGAAAUCUCUGGGCUUAACUCAGAGGCUGCUUCCGAAACUGCCGUGCUCGAGUGCGAGAGAGGCAAGUGGAAUUGCGGGUGUAGCGGUGAAAUGCGUAGAUAUCCGCAGGAACAUCCGAGGCGAAAGCGGCUUGCUGGAUCGCAACUGACGCUGAGGGACGAAAGCUAGGGGAGCAAACAGGAUUAGAUACCCUGGUAGUCCUAGCCCUAAACCAUCAGGACUUGGGGUUUGCCCUGUACGGGCAAGUCCCGGAGCUAACGCGUUAAGUCCUGCGCCUGGGGAGUGCGGUCGCAAGGCUAGAA